CACUAAUCUUGCUCAGUCAAGAUUCCUUAACAGGCGAGGACCUCACAGUUUUCUAAAUGACCAUCGUUUGUGGUGGGUAUUUGAAUGUAACACAAGUUCACGCCCACUCUAAAUUUGAUUGGCUCCCAUUUGCUCGCAGUUGUUUCCUAUUGGCUAGUGUCAGUCCAUUGAAUUCCCUCCUCUACCUUUGUGGAUUUCAUGCGCUCUGGAUGAAGCGGCUUCUUGUUGUUUCCCGGGACUCUCUGGAGUGACGCCACCCACCCCUCUCAAGGCGGACAUUUGGACAACAAGAGAGGACAAUAGACAUCACGGAGGGAACUUCAUUGUCUUUUUCCAACAGAGAGACAACCGCUAAACCUGAAUGUGGACGGAGUAGUUCCACUGAAAGGCAAGUAGGUAGAAGAAGCUGUCCUCUAAGCCAGCGUACACCGUCGCCAAGGAGCACCGUGUUGGGACCGAGCGGCCAUCCAAGUCCUACCCAGACAUGCUCCACUGUCAGCCGACGCCACCGAGGACUCUACUACCGCUGCGUUGAACUUGCCGAGAACUGUUUGGGAGUUACGAAAAAGCGACUCUUCUCCUGUUUUAUCGGGGAGUGAUACCGGUAAUUAUGCCCGAUCAAAUCACCGUGUCAGAGUUUGUGGUGGAGACCAACGAGGACUACAAGUCACCCACUGCCUCCAACUUUACCACCAGGAUGUCCCACUGCAGAAACACCGUGGCUGCACUGGAGGAGGCGCUGGACGUGGACCGCAGUGUUUUAUACAAGAUGAAAAAGUCAGUCAAGGCCAUCUACACAUCUGGUUUGGCUCAUGUGGAGAAUGAGGAGCAGUACACACAGGCACUGGAGAAGUUUGGAGAAAACUGCGUGUACAGAGACGAUCCGGAUUUGGGUUCGGCUUUCCUCAAGUUCUCCGUCUUCACCAAAGAGCUCACUGCACUCUUCAAAAACCUGUUCCAAAACAUGAACAACAUCAUCACCUUCCCAUUGGACAGCCUGCUGAAAGGAGACCUGAAAGGAGUCAAAGGGGAUCUGAAAAAACCUUUUGACAAAGCCUGGAAGGACUACGAAACAAAAGUCUGCAAAGGACAUUCUUUACUGAAAGGUACCAAAAUAGAGAAGGAAAAGAAGGAGCACGCCAGACAGCACGGGAUGAUCAGGACGGAGAUUAGCGGGGCGGAAAUUGCCGAGGAGAUGGAGAAGGAAAGGAGAUUCUUUCAGCUGCAGAUGUGUGAGUAUCUCCUCAAAGUCAACGAAAUCAAAAUCAAAAAGGGAGUAGACUUGCUGCAGAACCUCAUCAAGUACUUCCACGCACAGUGCAAUUUCUUUCAGGAUGGUCUUAAAGCUGUGGACAAUCUGAAGCCUUCCAUCGAAAAACUGGCCACAGAUCUACACACAAUAAAGCAGGCACAGGAUGAGGAGCGGAAGCAGCUGACGCAGUUACGAGAUGUUCUUAAGACGGCUCUACAAGUGGAGCAGAAGGAGGAUUCCCAGGUGCGUCAGAGCACCACCUACAGCCUCCAUCAGCCACAAGGCAACAAAGAGCACGGCACAGAGCGCAGUGGCUACCUUUACAAGAGAAGUGACGGGUUGCGUAAAGUGUGGCAGAAGAGAAAGUGUACGGCGAAGAAUGGAUACCUCACCAUCCCGCACGGCACUGCAAACAGGCCUCCAGCCAAACUCAACCUGCUCACCUGUCAGGUGAAGCACAAUCCUGAGGAGAAGAAGAGCUUUGACCUCAUAUCCCAUGACAGAACGUAUCAUUUUCAGGCUGAGGACGACCAGGACUGCCAAAUUUGGAUCUCUGUGCUCCAGAACAGCAAAGAGGAGGCGCUGAACCAGGCCUUCAAAGGUGACCAGCAUGUCGGUGAGAACAACAUCGUGCAAGAGCUUACCAAGGCCAUCCUAGCUGAGGUGAAGAGGAUGACGGGAAACGAUGUGUGCUGCGAUUGCGGCGCGCCCAAUCCGACAUGGUUGUCCACCAACUUGGGCAUCCUCACUUGUAUCGAAUGCUCAGGGAUCCACAGAGAGCUGGGAGUUCACUACUCCAGGAUCCAGUCGCUCACUCUGGAUGUGCUCAGCACCUCAGAGCUCUUGCUGGCCAAGAAUGUGGGGAAUGCCGGCUUCAAUGAAAUCAUGGAGGCCGGUUUAAGUGCUGAAAACACGGUGAAACCCAACCCCUCCAGUGACAUGCAGGCGAGGAAGGACUUCAUCGUCGCUAAGUACACAGAGAAGCGCUACGCCAGGAAGAAAUAUCCCGACUCUGCGUCGCGGCUGCAUACGCUCUGUGAAGCAGUCAAGGCUCGGGACAUUGUCUCCCUUAUUCAGGUCUAUGCUGAGGGAGUGGACCUCAUGGAACCCAUACCGCUUGCCAAUGGACAUGAGCAAGGAGAGACAGCCCUUCAUCUAGCUGUCAGGCUGGUGGACAGAACGUCUCUCCACAUUGUUGACUUCCUCACUCAGAACAGUUUAAAUUUGGAUAAGCAGACGACCAAGGGCAGCACUGCGCUGCACUACUGCUGUCUGACCGACAACAGUGAGUGCCUGAAGCUGCUGCUGAGGGGGAAGGCCUCCAUAGACAUUGCUAACGAGGCCGGGGAGACACCUCUGGACAUCGCACGCAGACUCAAACACCUUCAGUGUGAGGAGCUGUUGAAUCAGGCACUGGCGGGGAAAUUCAAUGCGCACGUCCACGUGGAGUAUGAAUGGUGCCUGCAGCAUGAAGACUUGGAUGAAAGUGAUGAGGAUCUGGAAGAAAAGCCCAGUCCUCACCGCCGAGACGAGCGUCCGGUCAGCUGUUACACGCCCAACACCAACUCCCACACGCAGCCUCGUGACAAUGCCGGCCUCGGCAAGGACAAGCAGCGGUCCUACCUGCCAAAUCUAGUCAACAACGAGACCUACGGCACCAUCGUCAACAACAACCCGCCUCAGUCCGGUCUUCCUGCCACCACCUCUGCACCACCGCUGCCCCCGAGGAACCUGGUCCAGCUAACCGGCCUUGGUGGGAUGGCUCAACCGUCAUCUUCCAACAACUGGAAACCCGGUUCUUUAGACCUGGUUGGACGUCAGAGAUCGUCUUCAGACCCGCCCAACAUGCACCCUCCUGCCCCUCCCUUCCGACUCACCUCUGCAGGAGGGAAGGUUGACGGAAUGGGCUUACACAGCAAGUCGGGUCAAGGACCUGCUGGAUCCAGAACCAAUCAGUCCAAGUCCCCUGCAAGCAAUGAUAAAGGCUUCACCCGAGGACCACUAAAUCGGACAGAAUCUAUCGAGCGGCCAACUAAGGCCGUGCCAGGUUGCCCCCGGAACUCCAUAGGUCAGUCUCUACCUCCAGCCCCCCAGUUGAGGAAGGCCUACCCGAAACACAGGCCAAAGCGAGUGAAAGCCAUCUACAACUGUGUGGCAGACAACCCCGACGAACUGACCUUCUCUGAGGGCGAGGUCAUUGUGGUGGACGGGGAGGAGGACCAGGAGUGGUGGGUAUAGGAGAUGUUAAAAAUGACUAAAUGGAGCUUUUCACUGUUGCCUUCACUGUCAAGCUGGGCCACAUUGAAGGAGAUCCAAUGAGACGAGGAGCUUUCCCAGUCACUUUUGUACACUUCAUUGUGGAUUGACAGCCCCAGGAGCUUGCCCUUCAGCACCGUCAUCGCAGCCUGGUUGUCAUGGCAACAAUCUGAGCAUCCCCCUCUGGUGUGGGAUACGCUCAGCGUGUUUCUAAAUGCUUGCUGUUUAUUUGUUUUCAAACGCCUGAUUGUAGCCGUUGAUCUCUCACUAGAAAUGCACUUUCCUCGCUGCUCUGUCACACAUGAUGAAGGUUGUACAGUCCUCAAUUCCUCCUCCUCCUCCUCAUCUUCUUCACUUAUUAUUUUGAACUGUGAAUGAGCAUAAGCGGCGCAACAUGAGGCUUGUAGAUGAUGUUAGCAGCGGAGCAAAUUGUGUUUUGGUGUGUUUGUCACAUGCAGCAACAUACCUGUUCUUCUUCUCUUCUUAUUUCAUGUCAAAUGAUGAGGCUUUAUAGUGUGUGUGUGUGUGUGUGUGUGUGCGCUAUAGAUGGCUUCACAUGUCACAUGCCUUGUUAUAAGGGAGUAGGAGUUGUCUAUCACAGAUUUGUACAAAUAUACUGCUAAAUGCAGACUUAAAGUGCAUUUUUAUUAAGCGGAAAUGUCUCUUUUAGCUGAAAAUGACACAAAACACUGUUAGAAGUUGGAUUUAUUUCACAAGUUUAAAUGUUUUCGUCAUUUUGAAGACGUUCUAAGGAAAGCAGUUGAUUGGGAUUCCAAACAUUUUCUUCACGUUACAAAUUACACAUUUUUGUUCCUGACUGGGACUCAAACUUGCUUCACAAAACCAUCCAUCCAUCCGCUUAUCCUCACUAGGGUUGCGGGUAUGCUGGACUCUAUCCCAGCUGUCUUUGGGUGAGAGGCAGUGUACACCCUGGACUGGUGGCCAGCCAAUCACAGGGCACAUAUAGACAAACAACCAUUCACACUCACAUUCAUACCUAUGGACAAUUUGGAGUCGCCAAUUAACCUAGCAUGUUUUUGGAAUGUGGGAGGAAAUCGGAGUACCAGGAGAAAACCAACACACACACGGAGAGAACAUGCAAACUCCACACAGAGAUGCCUGAGCGGGGGAAUUAAACCCUGCUCUCCUAGCUGUGAGGCCUCUGUGGCUUCACCAAACCAUCACAUUGAAAUAUACUACACAUAAUUCAUUAGAAAUAAUACAAACGCAAAAGAAAUGACCCCCAAUUUGGGGUCACACCACUGAAUUUUUUUUUUGUUACUAGGAUAUUUUAUAAUGGUGCUAAACGUGAAACAUCUUCCAUUUUCUCCUGUCAAACUCAAGGAUAAAUAUAGUUAAAAGUUAUUUUAUUUUGUUUCUUUCAGCUACAAAAAAAAUCAACAACUUAAAAUGAAUUUAAAGAAUUGUUUCAUUGUCUUGAGAAAAGUGUUAGUUGCAUUUAAAAAAAUAAGCAUUCACUGUAAAGUAGUUGGAUGUCGCAGAGCAUUUGAAUGCAAAGUGAAUGUUAAUAUCUUAAUAUUUACGCAUUUAACCUGACACCAUGAGAGCCUUUGUGACAAUUGCACCUAAACCUACAUGGUGUUUGUUGUGAACUCACUGGAAACAGGAAGAUUGACUCUUUAUAUGUGUACAUAGAUUUAUAUGUGUGUGUGUUGAUAUUUAAAUGUACACAAGCGGGCGGUCUUAAUGCACUGUGGCGUCGUGGAGAACUUCUGGCUGGACUAUAUGUAUGUACAGUAUGUGUAAAAUAACAUCACUUGUCAUUAUUUGUCUUUGGGUCUCUUAAAAUGGGAAAUGAAACUGGAAUAAAUUAUAAAUCUUUGGUUUCUGGGAGCAGUAAUGACGUACGUUGAUGUGUCAUUGUAUAAAUCAAUACACUUAAAACGUACCCAAUGAAGCUCAUUGUUUUGAAAGUGCUGCCCUCUACUGGCAAUAAACAGCUACACAACCUUGAAAAAAAAACAAUUUAAAUUGUUACAAGGUCAGGUUAAAAACUGUGACAAGGUAGAAAAUCCAUGAUUUUUAUUUCUAAAUCAUUAAUUCAUUUGUGAAAUCAUAAAUAUUUGAAGUGGAUUUAUAAUCCCCUCAACUGUAUGGAAUUGUUUAUUUUCUACCCAGUACAGCAUACAUGUUAUACGUAACUCCACCACGAGGUGGUGUUGUGAGUCAAUUAAUAAAAAGUGUAUUAAAACGUUUAGUCAAUCUAAUGGAUUGAUUUCACACGCCAGCUUUGUAUUAAUCCUUGUAAUAAAUAUACGAAGAUAUAAUAAUUAAUGAUAAAAGUCUCCCACAAACAAAAAAACAACCAUAUUACUACAAC